GCAAACGGGAUUAGAUACCCCGGUAGUCCAGGGUGUAAACGCUGCCGACUUGGUGUUGGAGGCCCUUCGGGGGCAUUCAGUGCCGGAGAGAAGUUGUUAAGUCGGCUACUUGGGGAGUACGUCCGCAAGGAUGAAACUUAAAGGAAUUGGCGGGGGAGCACCGCAACGGGAGGAGCGUGCGGUUUAAUUGGAUUCAACACCGGAAAACUCACCAAGGGCGACUGUUACAUGAAAGCCAGGCUAAUGACCUUGCUUGAUUUUCAGAGAGGUGGUGCAUGGCCGUCGUCAGUUCGUACCGUAAGGCGUUCUCUUAAGUGAG
rnacentral:rRNA from 1 species